CAUUUUAUAUAUUCAAUGCAAAUAUCCCUUUCAGUGGUGCGACUUGCCGGAGGUAGCUCCGCCAAUGAAGGUCGAGUUGAGGUCUUUGCCAACGGAGAAUGGGGAACGGUAUGCGACGAUAUGUGGGGGCAGGAAGACGGCAAUGUAGUGUGCAGACAGUUGGGCUUCCCCGGAGCUUCUAGCAUCAAGAUAGAGGCCUAUUUCGGCGAAGGCACAGUCCCUAUCCUUCUGGACGGAGUGAAUUGUGUAGGCAACGAAGCUUCAAUCUUGGACUGCCCGCAGAACGAUAUCGGGUAUCACAAUUGCGGUCACCAUGAGGAUGCUGGAGUGAUAUGUAACGAAGCCAUCCGGGUUGCAGGUGCCAACAAGAACGAGGGAUUAGGGUGGGGCAUAGUCGAGGUCUACCGCGAUGGGCAAUGGGGAACAGUGUGUGGCAUUGGAUUUACCGAAAAGGAUACUAAUGUCGCCUGCCGGCAGCUGGGCUUCACUACCCCUUCCUUUUACUACUUUAGGCAUGAUGAAAUGAAGUUCUUUGGCGCUGGAACUGGACCGAUUUCGCUCACUGGUGUUACUUGUCAGGGCGACGAGGCAUCAAUCAUGGACUGUGAUUUAAGUUCCACCGCUAUGGCUGCCUGUACCCACGCAGUAGACGCCGAGGUCUUGUGUAAAGAAGCACCAGACACAAAACGCCAAUUGGAGGAUGUGGAGUUCUAUCUUAAAAAAGAACAGAUGGCCGCUGAUGCCAAAAAGGAUGCUGACUUGAAGAAGAAAGAUGUCCUCCAGGCUCUAUAUGAACUCCUGGCCGAACUUGAUGACAAAUAGAUGAUAUAAGGCAGCGGACACACUGAACCUGGGGCGGACUGGGAGCUAAGAUAAAGAUUUUUCUGCACGUUCGCUCGGCCGUCAUUUAUUCACGGUUGGGUGAUGUCACUUCAUAUUAAAAGGUGUGACGCGUGAUCGUUACAACGGAGUCGAAAAAGACCCUUUGGUGUAUCCUUUCAAGAACAUUUUACCCACAAAUAAAGAAAACAUGAUCCCUUUUGCACAAGAGCUGGUACACAGAUUAGGCUCUAGAUAAAAAAAA
rnacentral:lncRNA from 1 species